UUCAUUUGCCUCCCAGCCUACA
rnacentral:miRNA from 1 species